rnacentral:rRNA from 1 species
AUUAAACGCUGGCGGCAUGCCUUACACAUGCAAGUCGAACGGUAGCGCGGGGCAACCUGGCGACGAGUGGCGAACGGGUGAGUAAAGCAUCGGAACGUGCCCUGGAAUGGGGGAUAACGUAGCGAAAGUUACGCUAAUACCGCAUAUUCUGUGAGCAGGAAAGCAGGGGAUCGCAAGACCUUGCGUUCUGGGAGCGGCCGAUGUCGGAUUAGCUAGUUGGUGGGGUAAAGGCCUACCAAGGCGACGAUCCGUAGCGGGUCUGAGAGGAUGAUCCGCCACACUGGGACUGAGACACGGCCCAGACUCCUACGGGAGGCAGCAGUGGGGGAAUUUUUGGACAAUGGGCGGAAGCCUGAUCCAGCCAUGCCGCGUGAGUGAAGAAGGCCUUC